rnacentral:tRNA from 1 species
GGCCUCGUAGCUCAGUUGGUUGGAGCAUUGGCUGUACUAAAGCCUUCCUCUUGCUGGCGUGGGUACGAAUCCCACCGAGGCUG